rnacentral:rRNA from 1 species
CAUGAGUUAUGUCAUGUUAUCGACAUGUGAAUUCAUAGCAUGUCAGAAGGCAGACCCGGAGAACUGAAACAUCUUAGUACCCGGAGGAAGAGAAAGAAAAAUCGAUUCCCUGAGUAGCGGCGAGCGAAACGGGAAGAGCCCAAACCAACAAGCUUGCUUGUUGGGGUUGUAGGACACUCUAUACGGAGUUACAAAAGAACAUGUUAGACGAAUCAUCUGGAAAGAUGAAUCAAAGAAGGUAAUAAUCCUGUAGUCGAAAACAUAUUCUCUCUUGAGUGGAUCCUGAGUACGACGGAGCACGUGAAAUUCCGUCGGAAUCUGGGAGGACCAUCUCCUAAGGCUAAAUACUCUCUAGUGACCGAUAGUGAACCAGUACCGUGAGGGAAAGGUGAAAAGUACCCCGGAAGGGGAGUGAAAGAGAACUUGAAACCGUGUGCUUACAAGUAGUCAGAGCCCGUUAAUGGGUGAUGGCGUGCCUUUUGUAGAAUGAACCGGCGAGUUACGAUCUGAUGCAAGGUUAAGCAGCAAAUGUGGAGCCGCAGCGAAAGCGAGUCUGAAUAGGGCGUUGAGUAUUUGGUCGUAGACCCGAAACCAGGUGAUCUACCCUUGGUCAGGUUGAAGUUCAGGUAACACUGAAUGGAGGACCGAACCGACUUACGUUGAAAAGUGAGCGGAUGAACUGAGGGUAGCGGAGAAAUUCCAAUCGAACUUGGAGAUAGCUGGUUCUCUCCGAAAUAGCUUUAGGGCUAGCCUCAAGUGAUGAUUAUUGGAGGUAGAGCACUGUUUGGACGAGGGGCCCCUCUCGGGUUACCGAAUUCAGACAAACUCCGAAUGCCAAUUAAUUUAACUUGGGAGUCAGAACAUGGGUGAUAAGGUCCGUGUUCGAAAGGGAAACAGCCCAGACCACCAGCUAAGGUCCCAAAAUAUAUGUUAAGUGGAAAAGGAUGUGGCGUUGCCCAGACAACUAGGAUGUUGGCUUAGAAGCAGCCAUCAUUUAAAGAGUGCGUAAUAGCUCACUAGUCGAGUGACACUGCGCCGAAAAUGUACCGGGGCUAAACAUAUUACCGAAGCUGUGGAUUGUCCUUUGGACAAUGGUAGGAGAGCGUUCUAAGGGCGUCGAAGCAUGAUCGCAAGGACAUGUGGAGCACNNNNNNNNNNNNNNNNNNNNNNNNNNNNNNNNNNNNNNNNNNNNNNNNNNNNNNNNNNNNNNNNNNNNNNNNNNNNNNNNNNNNNNNNNNNNNNNNUGCACGUCCAAGCAGUAAGGCUGAGUGUUAGGCAAAUCCGGCACUCAUAAGGCUGAGCUGUGAUGGGGAGAGGAAAUUGUUUCCUCGAGUCGUUGAUUUCACACUGCCGAGAAAAGCCUCUAGAUAGAUAACAGGUGCCCGUACCGCAAACCGACACAGGUAGUCAAGAUGAGAAUUCUAAGGUGAGCGAGCGAACUCUCGUUAAGGAACUCGGCAAAAUGACCCCGUAACUUCGGGAGAAGGGGUGCUCUUUAGGGUUCACGCCCAGAAGAGCCGCAGUGAAUAGGCCCAAGCGACUGUUUAUCAAAAACACAGGUCUCUGCUAAACCGUAAGGUGAUGUAUAGGGGCUGACGCCUGCCCGGUGCUGGAAGGUUAAGAGGAGUGGUUAGCUUCUGCGAAGCUACGAAUCGAAGCCCCAGUAAACGGCGGCCGUAACUAUAACGGUCCUAAGGUAGCGAAAUUCCUUGUCGGGUAAGUUCCGACCCGCACGAAAGGCGUAACGAUUUGGGCACUGUCUCAACGAGAGACUCGGUGAAAUCAUAGUACCUGUGAAGAUGCAGGUUACCCGCGACAGGACGGAAAGACCCCGUGGAGCUUUACUGUAGCCUGAUAUUGAAAUUCGGCACAGCUUGUACAGGAUAGGUAGGAGCCUUUGAAACGUGAGCGCUAGCUUACGUGGAGGCGUUGGUGGGAUACUACCCUAGCUGUGUUGGCUUUCUAACCCGCACCACUUAUCGUGGUGGGAGACAGUGUCAGGCGGGCAGUUUGACUGGGGCGGUCGCCUCCUAAAAGGUAACGGAGGCGCUCAAAGGUUCCCUCAGAAUGGUUGGAAAUCAUUCAUAGAGUGUAAAGGCAUAAGGGAGCUUGACUGCGAGACCUACAAGUCGAGCAGGGUCGAAAGACGGACUUAGUGAUCCGGUGGUUCCGCAUGGAAGGGCCAUCGCUCAACGGAUAAAAGCUACCCCGGGGAUAACAGGCUUAUCUCCCCCAAGAGUUCACAUCGACGGGGAGGUUUGGCACCUCGAUGUCGGCUCAUCGCAUCCUGGGGCUGUAGUCGGUCCCAAGGGUUGGGCUGUUCGCCCAUUAAAGCGGUACGCGAGCUGGGUUCAGAACGUCGUGAGACAGUUCGGUCCCUAUCCGUCGUGGGCGUAGGAAAUUUGAGAGGAGCUGUCCUUAGUACGAGAGGACCGGGAUGGACAUACCUCUGGUGUACCAGUUGUCGUGCCAACGGCAUAGCUGGGUAGCUAUGUAUGGACGGGAUAAGUGCUGAAAGCAUCUAAGCAUGAAGCCCCCCUCAAGAUGAGAUUUCCCAACUUCGGUUAUAAGAUCCCUCGAAGAUGACGAGGUUAAUAGGUUCGAGGUGGAAGCGUGGUGACACGUGGAGCUGACGAAUACUAAUCGAUCGAAGACUUAAUCAAUUUUUAAA